CCUACGGGAGGCAGCAGUGGGGAAUAUUGCACAAUGGGGGAAACCCUGAUGCAGCGACGCCGCGUGAGUGAGGAAGUAUUUCGGUACGUAAAGCUCUAUCAGACGGGAAGAAAAGGACGGUACCGGACUAAGAAGCCCCGACUAAAUACGUGCCAGCAGCCGCGGGAAUACGUAGGGGGCCAGGGUUAUCCGGAUUUACUGGGGGUAAAGGGAGCGUAGACGGCAGCGCAAGUCUGAAGUGAAAUCCCAGGGCUUAACCACGGAACUGGUUUGGAAACUGGGCAGCUGGAGUGCAGGAGAGGUAAGCGGAAUGCGUGGUGUAGCGGUGAAAUGCGUAGAUAUUAGGAAGAACUCCAGUGGCGAAGGCAGCUUACUGGACCGUAACUGACGUUGAGGCACGAAAGCGUGGGUAGCGAACAGGAUUAGAUACCCCUGUAGUC
rnacentral:rRNA from 1 species